GACGAACUCUGGCGGCGUGCUUAACACAUGCAAGUCGAACGAAGUGGCGAACGGGUGAGUAACGAGUAAUCAACCUGCCCUUCAGCGGGGGACAACAGUUGGAAACGACUGCUAAUACCGCAUACUGAAGGAGGGGUGUUCGUCUGAUUAGCUAGUUGGAGGGGUAACGGCCCCCCAAGGGGAUGAUCAGUAGCCGGUGUGAGAGGAUGAACGGCCAAAUUGGGACGGAGAAAACGCCCAGACUCCUACGGGAGGCAGCAGGUGGGAAUCUUCCGCAAUGGACGAAAGGCUGACGGAGCAACGCCGCGUGAGUGAUGACGGCCUUCGGGUUGUAAAGAUCUUUUAAUCGUGACGAGGUACCGGAAUAGAAAGCCACGGCUAACUACGUGCCAGCAGCCGCGGUAAUAC
rnacentral:rRNA from 1 species